CAACUGAGUUGUUGCUCCAAGCUAAAUUUGUGUUCUGAAGAUGACUUUUGAACUGCAAGAACAAGGUACACUGUGCUUCCAAUCUGUUUACUUUAGCAUUCCUCUAUAUUCUCCAUGUUGGUUCAGACUCACGGAUGCAGAAGGGAAGCACUGACACCGCAGAAUAUUUUUCCAGCUCAGGUCUCUGGAUCUUCUGAAGUUUUAUAUUGGAUGAUUUUGAAGGUCUGGAGCUCAUACUAGAACCACUGCUUGACAACUGAGAGAUUUUUCUAAAAAUGCAAUUACUUCCAAUAAGGAUCCAGACUUUGUUUUUGUUUCAGAAAAAAACCCAAGCAAGGCACUAAAACAGCAGAACUUCUUUAACUGGUUUGAGUACACACCAAAUCUCUGUUAAUAAUUUUUCACUCUCCAAAAAUUUCCAUUUGAUAGGAGAGUGUUGGAAAGAUCGAUURUACGUAUAUUUAAAUGUUGUAUAAUGAAACUUACAUAACAGUCUCAUGGCUUGACUACUUUUAUCAUCUGUUUGACUGCAGAUGGAAGCAAUAUGAUAUUCAGAAAGGAAUCUGGACUUUUCUAAGUUUAAGACAUAAAGAAUUCAUUCAUAGUAAUGACCUGUGUUGAGUAGUACAGUAACAAGGGUAUCUGAAAGGGAAGGCAAUCCUCAAGUUUUUGAAUGCAAAUAUUUUAGAUCUAUAUUUUAUAUAAAGAUAUGUAUUUUUUAUUUGGAUGAAAGGAUCCACUCAUUUUCAUUCUAGAUUAAGACUCCCUUCCUACUUAUUAUUUACUUAUUUCAGGUAUUACAUCUUUUGUAUUGGUUGUAGAUUAGAUUCCAUGGCAAAACACAUGUGUCUAGAACACAGCAUUAUCAUUUAACAUAUUUAACCUUAACUAUUACUGCUAGUAACAUUACUGUCCCUUCCUAUGAUGAAGGAUAUAUCUUUGGCUAUACUUCAUGCAAUGUGAGGUCGCAAACURGGGACUCUUUAAAAGUUAUUUCUGUUUUAUAAUGCAGUCACUGAAUGCUAGAAGAUAUACUUUAAAUUAUUUAGCUUUCUAGAGUAGUUGAAAUUGCUGUGGAAGCACAAUCUCUUACAAAUUGGUGAAUUUGUGCACUGGAAAGUCAUGACUAUAUACAUGUAUGUGUCUACAUAAUUAAUCACCUCCAUGUGGCUGACCUAAUGGGGGAUCUGUGAUGGAUUUUACAUUAC